CAUGCUAUACAAUGUAAAAUCACAUUGUAAUUACUAAGCUGCCUUGAGGCAAACAGUUAAAGAAGCACAAACAUGUAUUCCUGACCCUAUAGUGUUAAAAACACCUUCUUCCCUACCCCCUACCUUGCACCCCCCUCCCCCCCUUACUUUUAUUCCAGUCUGCUUCUGCUGGCUCUGCCCCUGAUAUGCCUGUUAGGCCGCCAUCAUCAUAAGUGUUGCUCAAGGCCAACCACAAUGUGUUCCCAUAGAAAUGCACUGGAAUGGCUGAGAGUGUCAAGGAGGCAGAUCAGGGACAGAGCCAAUCCAAGCCAAAGACAGCCCUGGCCAAUCAGCAUCUUCUCAUAGAGAUGCAUUGAAUCAAUGCAUGUCUAUGAGGAAAGUUCAGUGUCUCCAUGCAGAGGAUGGAGACACUAAAUGGCAGUGCUGCAUACUGUGCAGCACUGCACCAGGAAUCACCCCUCGUCACCAUCUGAGGAGUUGCCAGUGGAGGUAUUCCUAGGCUGUAAUGUAAACAUUGCCUUUUCUCUGAAAAUACAGUGUAUACUGCAAAAAGCCUGAAGGUAAUGAUUAUACUCACCAGAACAAAUAAAAUAAUCUGUAGUUGUUUUGUUGACUAUAGUGUCCCUUUAAAUAGGGCAAAAAGUAAAUUAAAUUGAGUCUGAUUAUAGUUAAAUAAUUAUCAUAUUUGUGCAUGCACAUAUUGAUAUAUCAGUGAACUAGUAGCCAAUGCAUUUUCAUUCUUGCAUUUAUUUACCUUCACUCUACCAUUCUCUCUUUCUCUCUUCAAACAGUUGUUGCCUAUUCCUUUACUACUACAUUCAAAU